rnacentral:rRNA from 1 species
CCUACGGGGGGCAGCAGUGGGGGAUAUUGCACAAUGGGGGAAACCCUGAUGCAGCGACGCCGCGUGGAGGAAGAAGGUUUUCGGAUUGUAAACUCCUGUCGUUAGGGACGAUAAUGACGGUACCUAACAAGAAAGCACCGGCUAACUACGUGCCAGCAGCCGCGGUAAAACGUAGGGUGCAAGCGUUGUCCGGAAUUACUGGGUGUAAAGGGAGCGCAGGCGGGAAGACAAGUUGGAAGUGAAAACCAUGGGCUCAACCCAUGAAUUGCUUUCAAAACUGUUUUUCUUGAGUAGUGCAGAGGUAGAUGGAAUUCCCGGUGUAGCGGUGGAAUGCGUAGAUAUCGGGAGGAACACCAGUGGCGAAGGCGGUCUACUGGGCACCAACUGACGCUGAGGCUCGAAAGCAUGGGUAGCAAACAGGAUUAGAUACCCGAGUAGU